AACAGUUUGACAUGAGCAGUGCAGCACAGUGAGACAGAGCUGGAUGUGGAGAUGGGACAGACUGUGCUCUGUGUGUUGGUCUUAUCCUGGUUAACUCAGUUUGUAUUUGCUGUGGCUGGACCGGAGGUGACAACAUGUUAAACCCUCUGCAGAGGUGUGAGGUUUGUUAAAAAGAAGGAAGUAGACAGAGACUAUCUUGGUACAGAGCAGAGUGACACGUUGUGAGGACUGGAUGUGAGGACGAUCUCAGAAAUCUUUCUCUAAAACGGAGUGACACGUUGUCAGUGCUGGAUGUGAGGAUGGGACACACUUUGCUUCAUGUGCUGGGAUUAUUGUAUGCUGCAGUUGUUGCUUCCUGGUAUGAAGUUGAAGUCUUUGUCUGAAGCAGAGUGACACGUUGUCAUUCACUGUUUCUCUUCAUAGACUGCAGUUCCAAGUUUCUCUUGAUACAAACAGGAAGUAUUUCUCAGGUACAACAACAGAGUGUCAGUGCUGGAUGUGAGGAUGGGACACACUUUUCUGUGUGUGCUGUUGUUGACCUUGUUGGAUACACUCCUCUACUGUGGACAUGCUCAAGAUGCUGUGCUGACUACUGACCCCUACUGGUCACCUUUGUUCACUGGAGAGUCUGUUACCUUCACAUGUGACAUGAAGGAAGGAGGAGU